GACGAACGCUGGCGGCGUGCUUAACACAUGCAAGUCGAACGAUGAAGCCGGAGCUUGCUCUGGUGAAUUAGUGGCGAACGGGUGAGUAACACGUGAGUAACCUGCCCUUGACUCUGGGAUAACUGCGGGAAACUGUAGCUAAUACCGGAUACGACCCUCGGAGGCAUCUCCUGGGGGUGGAAAGAAUUUCGGUCAAGGAUGGACUCGCGGCCUAUCAGCUAGUUGGUGAGGUAAAGGCUCACCAAGGCGACGACGGGUAGCCGGCCUGAGAGGGUGACCGGCCAUACUGGGACUGGGAGACGGCCCAGACUCCGACGGGAGGCAGCAGUGGGGAAUAUUGCACAAUGGGCGAAAGCCUGAUGCAGCAACGCCGCGUGAGGGAUGACGGCCUUAGGGUUGUAAACCUCUUUUAGCAGGGAAGAAGCGAAAGUGACGGUACCUGCAGAAAAAGCACCGGCUAACUACGUGCCAGCAGCCGCCGUAA
rnacentral:rRNA from 1 species